AUUGAACGCUGGCGGCAUGCUUUACACAUGCAAGUCGAACGGUAACAGGUUAAGCUGACGAGUGGCGAACGGGUGAGUAAUGCAUCGGAACGUGCCCAAUCGUGCGGGAUAACGCAGCGAAAGCUGCGCUAAUACCGCAUACGAUCUGAGGAUGAAAGCGGGGGACCGUAAGGCCUCGCGCGAUCGGAGCGGCCGAUGUCAGAUUAGGUAGUUGGUGGGGUAAAGGCUCACCAAGCCAACGAUCUGUAGCUGGUCUGAGAGGACGACCAGCCACACUGGGACUGAGACACGGCCCAGACUCCUACGGGAGGCAGCAGUGGGGAAUUUUGGACAAUGGGCGAAAGCCUGAUCCAGCAAUGCCGCGUGCAGGAAGAAGGCCUUCGGGUUGUAAACUGCUUUUGUACGGAGCGAAAAGGUCUCCUCUAAUACAGGGGGCUCAUGACGGUACCGUAAGAAUAAGCACCGGCUAACUACGUGCCAGCAGCCGCAGUAA
rnacentral:rRNA from 1 species